AAGAGACAGCAGUCGCCGCGGUAACACGUAGGUCCCGAGCGUUGUCCGGAUUUAUUGGGCGUAAAGCGAGCGCAGGCGGUUAGAUAAGUCUGAAGUUAAAGGCUGUGGCUUAACCAUAGUACGCUUUGGAAACUGUUUAACUUGAGUGCAGAAGGGGAGAGUGGAAUUCCAUGUGUAGCGGUGAAAUGCGUAGAUAUACGGAGGAACACCGGUGGCGAAAGCGGCUCUCUGGUCUGUAACUGACGCUGAGGCUCGAAAGCGUGGGGAGCAAACAGGAUUAGAGACCCCUGUAGUCCCUGUCUCUUAUACA
rnacentral:rRNA from 1 species